CCCGGGUCUUGUACACACCGCCCGUCAAGUCAUGGGAGUUGGUUUUACCUGAAGACGGUGGCUUAACCGCAAGGAGAGAGCCGGCCACGGUAAGAUUAAUGACUGGGACU
rnacentral:rRNA from 1 species